rnacentral:misc_RNA from 1 species
GGAUAAUCCAAUAGGUUCAAUGAUUAAAUUAUUGAAUACAAAUUAUUCAAUUUGGAAGUUGAUGAUGGAGGACUAUCUGUUCUACAAGGAUUUCUUUGAUCCUAUUAAAUUAGGUUCUCAAAAGCCUGAAGGAACAUCUGAUGACAAUUGGGAGAAGUUACAUAGAAAAGUUGUUGGAAAUAUUAGACAAUGGGUGGAUUUUCUACAAUCAGGAGGUUAAUGAACUUGAAAUUCAAAGAAGGGCACUCAAUUGCAGAUGACUUGAGUGAUUUUCAGGAUCUGGAAAAUCAAUUAGGCACCACGAAGAUAGAACUUGAUGAUAAACUGUAGGCUUUACUUCUCUUGAGUUCUUUGCCAAAUAGUUGGGAAAAUUUGGUAGUUUCACUUAGCAACUCUGCUCCUAAUGGUGUAUUAAAUUUGCAUAUGGUCAAGGAUAGCAUUCAUAAUGAAGAGAUCAGAUGAAAGGAUAUGCGUGGAGAUACUACACUUGCACUUGUUAUAGAGAAUAGGGGUAGAAGCAAGAGCAAAGGUUCUAAGGGGCAUAGUAAAUCCAGAGGCAAAUCACAGUCAAAAGGAAAAUUUAGUUACUAUCACUGCGAGAAGGACGGUCAUAUCAAGAGAAACUGCAAGGCUUUUAGGAAGGAACAGAAAGAUGAGAAGAAUCAAAAGAAGGAUAAUAAGAAUCAAAAUAAGUCAGAUGAUGAUAACACAGCCGCUACUGUAUUUGAUGAAGAUGCUAAACUAGUAGGGCUUUCCUUUAAAGAGAUCAAUGUAACGUCAUUGUAGAUCCUUACAUUGAGUGGAUUAUUAACUCAAGAGCAUGUUAUCAUGCUAAACCUAGGAGAGAUAAUUUUUUUAUGUACAAACCGGGAAAAUUGGUAGAUUAAAGAUGGGCAAUACUAGUCAUAUUAAUAUAGUGGGAGUUGGAGAAAUAUGUGUCUAAACUAAUUUGGGUUGCACAUUAACCUUGAAAGAUGUGCGACAUAUACUAGGUUUACGCUUGAAUUUGAUGUCUCAUUCCUUGGAUUUAGAUGGUUAUCACAGCUAUAUUGGUGAUUAAAAAUGAAAAUUGACUAAAGGUUCUAUGGUGGUUACUAAAGGCAAGUCUUUCAAUGGACUAAUGAAAACUCAAAUGAAGUUGCUUUAUAGUGAGUUGAAUGCAAUUAAAGAUGAUGCUUCACUAGGCAUUGGCAAAGAAGCACUCAUUGCCUUUGCCAAAGGUAUGAAUAUAAACCCUUAUGAUAUUUGUUUAUUGG